rnacentral:rRNA from 1 species
ACUCCUAUGGGAGGCAGCAGUGGGGAAUCUUGGACAAUGGGGGCAACCCUGAUCCAGCCAUGCCGCGUGAGUGAUGAAGGCCUUAGGGUCGUAAAGCUCUUUCGCCUGUGAUGAUAAUGACAGUAGCAGGUAAAGAAACCCCGGCUAACUCCGUGCCAGCAGCCGCGGUAAUACGGAGGGGUUAGCGUUGUUCGGAAUUACUGGGCGUAAAGCGCGCGUAGGCGGAUUAGUAAGUCAGAGGUGAAAUCCCGGGGCUCAACCCCGGAACUGCCUUUGAUACUGCUAGUCUUGAGUUCGAGAGAGGUGAGUGGGAAUUCCGAGUGUAGAGGUGAAAUUCGUAGAUAUUCGGAGGAACACCAGUGGCGAAGGCGGCUCACUGGCUCGAUACUGACGCUGAGGUGCGAAAGUGUGGGGAGCAAACAGGAUUAGAUACCCUGGUAGCGACUGA